rnacentral:misc_RNA from 1 species
AGGAUCUGGAGAUGAUAUUUCUUCUCAUCUGACACUGCCCAAAUGACUUCUUCUUCAGGCAGUGAACCCUCAGUACUGUUGGUAUUUUAAUUUUCGCAUUAUCUGAAGUUCAUCAGUUCAAUUCUAGGGAAAAUGUUGGGUGGCAACAAUGGCAAUGGUUUGCUUCCCGUUUUCCUGGAUGAAAAUCGAAAUCAGUAUCAAACUAAUGCUUCUGAUCAGCUGCAGUUAUUUGGGAAUUUGCCUGUUAGCUGUGGAAUUGAGCCUGUAAAUUAUUUUGGAAACGAGCAAAUGGUUCAUAUGCUUCGCCCUAACAAAAGAAGUAGGGAAAUAGAAGAUUUCUCAAGGCAGCAGAAGCUUCAGAUUUCCCUAAAUUAUGCCUGUCAAGAUGAUGCUGAUCGUUCG